rnacentral:rRNA from 1 species
UACAGGGGGGGCAAGCGUUGUUCGGAAUUACUGGGCGUAAAGGGCUCGUAGGCGGCCAACUAAGUCCGACGUGAAAUCCCAAGGCUUAACUUUGGAACUGCGUCGGAUACUGGAUGGCUUGAAUUCGGGAGAGGGAUGCAGAAUUCCAGGUGUAGCGGUGAAAUGCGUAGAUAUCUGGAGGAACACCGGUGGUGUAGACGGCUUACUGGACCACGACUGACACUGAGGCACGAAAGCAUGGGGAGCGAACAGG